rnacentral:rRNA from 1 species
CCUACGGGAGGCUGCAGUGAGGAAUAUUGGUCAAUGGGCGGAAGCCUGAACCAGCCAAGCCGCGUGAGGGAAGAAGGUACAGCGUAUCGUAAACCUCUUUUGUCAGGGAACAAAGGCGGGGACUAGUCCCCGGAUGAGGGUACCUGAAGCAAAAGCAUCGGCUAACUCCGUGCCAGCAGCCGCGGUAAUACGGGGGAUGCGAGCGUUAUCCGGAUUUAUUGGGUUUAAAGGGGGCGAAGCGGGCCUGUUAAGUCAGCGGGAAAAGCCCGGGGCGCAACCCCGGCGAGCCGUGGAAACGGGCGGGCUUGAGUUGGAGAGAAGUACGCGGAAUGCGCGGUGUAGCGGUGAAAUGCUUAGAUAUCGCGCAGAACCCCGAUUGCGAAGGCAGCGUACCGGCUCCACACUGACGCUGAGGCACGAAAGCGUGGGUAUCGAACAGGAUUAGAUACCCUAGUAGUC